UGCAGCCUUGUUAUACUGAAUGCCUGCCUUCCUCUGUGGUGAGGAUUGGGCCAUAUCAGCUGCCACAGCACAUGCCUCUAGCUCACAGGUCACAGACUUUGCAGUGAGCUCUGGGGGUCAUCUUGCCACAGACAUUG